CCCCUCUCAGGGUCGCACCUGGAGAGUUUCCAGUACUCUACCAGUAUCAGCUAUGGGAGGAGAGUCUAACAGAGGCAUACCCGUUCCAUUUCUAGUUUGGGCAGUGGCUAGCGAGUGGAAAGCAGUCUGCUACAAGU